UAUAUUUUCAAAAUAUAUACUUAUAUAGUUAAAGAAUAAUAAAAAUUAAAAAAAAAAAUUAAAUAAUUAUAAACUGAAAAGGAAAAUUUCAAAGUUCUGAAAAGUCAGUUUUUGUACCUCUAGCAUUAGGGUUUAUCAAAAAUAAAUAAAUUUUUAUUUUUCUCGAAAUAAAUAGAUCUAAAUUUAAUACAAUUUACUUAUUUCAAAAAGUUAAUAAAAUUGAAUUUAGAAGUGAAAUUCUUACCAAAAUUUAUGUUAUCUAGUUUUUUAAAAAAACUAAAAGUUUUCCUAUUUUUUAAAAUAAUUAUUAUUAAAAUAGAUUAUUUUUUUUGGGAUAAGCUAAAAAAAUGAUUUACAAAAUAAAGUUAUUGGAAUAAUAAGGAACAGAAUAAAUUUUCUUUUUAAUUUUUAAAAAUUAUUUUAAAAUAACGAAAAAUAAAAAUUUUUAUUUUUUUAAAAGCAAAAAAAUUGUUUUUUCUAGAUUCAUUUAAAUGAAGGGAAAAUAAAAUUGAAGAAUUCGGCAAAAAAUUUCUCUGACUGUUUAAUAAAAACAUUUUAUUUAGUUUUAAAUUAAAUAUAUAUUCUGCUCAAUGAAUAUUAUUAAAUUGCUGUAGUAUUUUGACUAUACAAAGGUAUUGAAAUAAGAUUUUAAUUGAAUGCUAAGAGAAUGGAUUUACAGAGAAAUUCUUUUUUAAUUUUAAAAAUUAAAAUUAUUUUUGUUUGUGCAGAAACAACAAUAAAAUUUAAAGACAAGAAGACCCUACGAAUUUUUAAGAAAUAUUAAAAAGCUUUUUAAUAUUUCUUUUAGUUGGGGCGACUGAUGAAUAUAAAAAACUUUAUUUUCCUUAAAAAAUUGAACCAUUAGUAAUGGUAAUAUGGAAAAAAUACUCUAGGGAUAACAGCGUAAUAAUUUUUGAUAGUUCAUAUAGACAAAAUAGUUUGCGACCUCGAUGUUGGAUUAGGAUUCUUAUUUAAUGAAGAAGUUAAAAAAAGAAGUUUGUUCAACUUUCAAAUUCCUACAUGAUCUGAGUUUAGACCGAUGAGAAUCAGGUUGGUUUCUAUCUUAAUUAUAAUUAAAUUAUAAGUUAGUACGAAAGGAAUUCUUAUAAAAAAUUAUUUUUAAGAUAUGACAGUUUUUGCAUCAAUUUUUGGAAU
rnacentral:rRNA from 1 species